AACGAACGCUGGCGGCAUGCCUAACACAUGCAAGUCGAACGAGACCUUCGGGUCUAUUGUCGCACGGGUUCGUAACGCGUGGGAACCUGCCCUUAGGUUCGGAAUAACUCCCCGAAAGGGGUGCUAAUACCGGAUAAUGUCUUCGGACCAAAGAUUUAUCGCCUUUGGAUGGGCCCGCGUUGGAUUAGCUAGUUGGUAGGGUAAAAGCCUACCAAGGCGACGAUCCAUAGCUGGUCUGAGAGGAUGAUCAGCCACACUGGGACUGAGACACGGCCCAGACUCCUACGGGAGGCAGCAGUGGGGAAUAGUGGACAAUGGGCGAAAGCCUGAUCCAGCAAGGCCGCGUGAGUGAUGAAGGCCGUAGGGUUGUAAAGCGCUUUUACCCGGGAUGAUAAUGACAGUACCGGGAGAAUAAGCUCCGGCUAACUACGUG
rnacentral:rRNA from 1 species